AGCGAACGCUGGCGGCAGGCUUAACACAUGCAAGUCGAACGCCCCGCAAGGGGAGUGGCAGACGGGUGAGUAAUACGUGGGAACGUACCCUUUGGUUCGGAAUAACUUGGGGAAACUCAAGCUAAUACCGGAUAAGCCCUUAUGGGGAAGGGUUUACUGCCGAAGGAUCGGCCCGCGUCUGAUUAGCUAGUUGGUGAGGUGAUGGCUCACCAAGGCGACGAUCAGUAGCUGGUCUGAGAGGAUGAUCAGCCACACUGGGACUGAGACACGGCCCAGACUCCUACGGGAGGCAGCAGUGGGGAAUAUUGGACAAUGGGGGCAACCCUGAUCCAGCCAUGCCGCGUGAGUGAUGAAGGCCUUAGGGUUGUAAAGCUCUUUUACCCGGGACGAUAAUGACUGUACCGGGAGAAUAAGCCCCGGCUAACUUCGUGCCAGCAGCCGCAGUAA
rnacentral:rRNA from 1 species